rnacentral:rRNA from 1 species
GGAGCAAUCCUAGUAGAGCGGCGCACGGGUGCGUAACACGUGGAUAAUCUGCCUGGGUGUCUGGGAUAACCGGUCGAAAGAUUGGCUAAUACCGGAUAAGCCCCCGGGAGCUUCGGCUCCUGAGGGAAAAGGUGGCCUCUGUAUACAAGCUAUCACAUCCAGAUGAGUCCGCGGCCCAUCAGCUAGUUGGCGGGGUAAUGGCCCACCAAGGCAACGACGGGUAGCUGGUCUGAGAGGACGAUCAGCCACACUGGAACUGAGACACGGUCCAGACUCCUACGGGAGGCAGCAGUGGGGAAUUUUGCGCAAUGGGCGAAAGCCUGACGCAGCAACGCCGCGUGUGUGAUGAAGGUCUUCGGAUUGUAAAGCACUUUCGACCGGGACGAAAACCCGUUGGCUAACAUCCAACGGCUUGACGGUACCGGGAGAAGAAGCACCGGCUAACUCUGUGCCAGCAGCCGCGGUAAUACAGAGGGUGCAAGCGUUGUUCGGAAUUAUUGGGCGUAAAGCGCGUGUAGGCGGCUUUGCAAGUCGGGUGUGAAAGCCCUCAGCUCAACUGAGGAAGUGCGCCCGAAACUGCAGAGCUUGAGUGCCGGAGAGGGUGGCGGAAUUCCCCAAGUAGAGGUGAAAUUCGUAGAUAUGGGGAGGAACACCGGUGGCGAAGGCGGCCACCUGGACGGUAACUGACGCUGAGACGCGAAAGCGUGGGGAGCAAACAGG